CGGCGGGAGAGGGCGGGGAGCGACGGGGAGCGGCGGGGUCCAGCGUCGCCCUUGCGAACCCUGAGGACCCGCGUGCGCCCUCCGCCGUGGGAAAGGGGUCGCCGGCGCGCGCGUCCCGGAGCUGGGGCGGCCCCUCCCUCCCAAAGCCCCUCGCCCGUCCCGCUCACGGCGCCACCCCCUCCCCGCCCCGCGACCCCGGCCAGUGCUCCCAACGGUCCCCCUCCGCGCUGACGCCGCCGCCGCUGCUGCCGGGCCAGCCGGAGCCGCAGCCGGAGCGGUAGUGGAAGCCGGAGCCGGCGGGCCGAGGGCGGCGCGCUCCAGCCGGGGCCGAGCGCCGUGCCGGGGCCGCGGUGACCGCGCCGCCCGGCCGAUGCCCGCGGGGACGCCGCCGGCCGCCAGAGCGAGAGCCCCGAGCCCUGGCGAGCCAGACUCCCACUGAAGACACCCGGGAACAGCUUCAAGCGUCAGCCCGGCACCCCGACGGCCAGCGUGAGCUCUGCCACCACUUACCUGUUUGUGGCCCAUUUCAAGCUGCCAACAGAAAGCCAUUGAGCACAGAGAUGGAGACGGGCCCAGAACUCAGCAUGAGCAGCUCCUGGCCCUGCUGGGGAGGGAUCUAUAGGGUGCUGGGGGAGGCAGAUUCGGGUUGUGGCUUGGGAGUAGUCAGAGAUUGGGACAAGAUCCAGUGUGACAACUGGGUGGAGAUCUGUGGGAUCCUGGGGAAGGGUCAGGCCUCACUGUAGCCCCCCGACUCACUCUAUAAGCACAGUGGUCAGGUUACCGGAGGCAGAUCAGUGAAGCUCCUAGGCUCCAGGGGUCCCUUCAUGGAAGAGUAUAGACACAGCCCACUCCCUUAACACGGCAGCCGGCCCCCUCAGGACUGGACCAGGCUGGGAAGGCCCCACCUGGCCCGCAGAAGGACCUCCCACCUGGGACCCCAGCUGCUCACUGCAGGGAUGGCCGGGCGUGUCCCAGGGAGGGGCCUGGGGCCCAGUUCCGGACUCCAGUCCACCCCUGUCCCCCCAUGGCCCUGAGACUCCCAGGCUCUGCCCACUUUUCACUUCCCCAGGACUGCCAGUCUGCUGUCUGUGGAACUGGCUCUGGGUGCACACCUUCCACACAGCCCAGCCAGCCCUGGAGCGCUCUCCCUGGCUCCUGCCACUCAACCUCAGGGUGAAGGAAAGCCCACCCCUCCUGUGGACAAAGGAGGUUGGCUGGCCCUUAGUUUGCCCCAGGGGCCUGAGGCCUCUCCAGUUGCUGGUCUGGGCAGGGGUUAGGGCCUACUUGGGGACCCCAGGACCUGAAAAGGCUCUGGCAAGGUCACUGCCAGCCUGGGCUUCCCCACCUGCAAAGUGGCUCUGGGAGAGAGCUGCAGGAGGCAAUAGACAUGUGGCACCUUGAAGGGUAGACCCCUUAGGUAGCAGCCCGGGAAGGGCACACACUCAGGACAGAGGAAGGUGGUGUAGGGCCUGCAGAGGCAGUGUCAUUGAUUAAUUAGGAGGGUCUUGUUCGUUUCCUUAGGAUGGUGGCAUUCACAAGAUAGCAGUAAAACUUCUUCACAGUGGGCAAAAUCUUACUCAGAUACUUGGUGAACUUGCGUUUGUUUUUGCUAUUUCUGCACUGCAUAGUGUAACAACGAUGAUAGCACACUGUGGGGAAUAAGAGAGGCGGGGGAUUUCAACAUGAGCCGAGCCCCCAGCAAAGCCUCUCACCUAUUCUCUGCCUCUGGCCGCAUCGCCUCCUCCAGCUCUGCCCCCUGAACAAAGCCCCUCACCUCUUCUUCCCUGCCUCUGGCAGCAUCGCUUCCUUCUUGGGUUAUUUCUUAGUCUCUGGCGGCAGCAUCUGCUCUGCUUAUGACUGCAAUGUGUAUAUCUGGCCAUUGUGCCGGGUGGAUUUGGUCUGUGUGCUCAGAGCAGGAGGUACCACCUUAGCUGAGCCAGCCAACCUGUAAGCAGGUGUGGAAUAUGAGCCAGGGGCUGGCUCCUGGGCCUCUUAUAGACACCGGAGCCCCCUGGGCCUUAUGAGGUCACAGAGGCCAGCCAGAGCAGACCCAUCUUGUGCCCACAUAUGGGCAUGUGGGAGGCCCUUGGUGGGCAGGGCGGGGCCGUGAUGCCCAGGGUCCUCCACAUCACCAGCUGAGGAGAGACCAGCUGGCCUUCCUGUACAGGGCAAUCUCUCACUCAUCCAGGGAGCUCUCAAGUAAAGUAUUAUUGAGCACUGACUGUGGGCCAGGGUCUGGGGGAGGCCCUGGCAUACAGUGAUAAAUAAGGCAGACAUAUUCUGCCUGAUAAAGUUUAGACUCUAACUUGAGGAAACAUGAAUGAAAUAACAGCACAGAAUAACUGUGUCAGGAAGAAGGCCCUCCAGGGCUGGUACAGAGGUGCCACCCUCAUCAAGGGCCCCGCUUCUUUGGUCUUCCAGUUCUGUCCUCAGCACGUGCUUUCCAUCCUCAAGGUUGCCUCAUAAUCCAAACUCUCGCCUGCCGUGCACAGUCGUACAGUUCUGUCCUGCCCAAAGCUUUGAGCCAAGGGACUGAGUGGGGACUGAAAUCCAGCCUGGGCUCUGCCCGUCGAGUCAGGCCCAGCACCCAUAGACGUGUUGCUGCACACAGCAGUGUUUUAGCUAAUUCACCUGCUCAGUGUCUGCGAAAAAUGUUAAUGAAGAGGAGUUAGAAGUUGCGGGUUAAGUCAACUAUUUAACUUGAAUCUAGCUGAAAAACAAGUAAGACUCAAACAGGAAAGAGAGGAUAGCAAAAGACAUAAUAUAAAUAAGGCUUAUUUAGGAUAUCAAAGAGAAUACCAAACCUAAUGGACUGAAGGAUUGGUGAGAAGGAGAAUUAAAAGUCCAUUGGUUCCAAAUCAUGGUGUUCUUAAAGGUCACCGAGGACUUCGGACUUCAUCCUGUACACAACGGAAACCCUGUUUUUUUUCUUAGUAUAAGAAUAAUAUGAAGAAACAAGUGUGAUGAAGAUUAAUUUGUCAGUUGAAAGAAAGAAGUGCAAUUGCUGUGAUCUUGAAGUAUUGAUCAAAUACUAUCAUUCAGACCUGAGGAGCCUGGACCGGAGUGGUGGAUAUAAGGCAGGAAACAACAAAAAAGUCAAUAGACAGAAUGGAUUAUGUGAAGGAAAAAAAGAAAAGCCCAAGACUGCCAGAGUUCCAAUCAGCAGGUCAUGGCAACUGGACUUCCUUAAAUUUUAGGGCUAAUUAAAACCUAACUUUUAUAGCAGGUAUGUUUUAGAAAUUUUACUAAACUUCUACAAAUUACCUGGUUCUGAUGUUAGUUCAAAAAAUCAAAGUGUGACUUUUCCCUAAUCGAACUGUGUGACUCUGGUAAUUCAAAAUCAUGACAUAAUGAUUAAGAAAGUUGUUUCUGAAAUAUUUUUCUGUGUCUAUUUCUUCUUUUGUGCUUUUAGUCUAUAUGUUCCUGCUAAGGAUUCCUGAACGUGUCUUAUGUUUUCAGUCUAAUUAUCUUGGAAUUCUUGAAUAAGACCAUAAAACUCCUUUCAUUUUCUGUUGUUCUUUUUGUCAUUUGAGAGAACUUUGUCUCUCCUAGCUAUUAUAUAAAAAACAUUAAUUACAUAUCUCCUCUAUGGCAGGGUCUAAGAUCACAAAUACAACUAAGAAGUGGCCCUGUGAUGACCACACAGACUAGAGGGAAUAGGAAGUGUUCUCAUCACCCAGGGCUACAUAACCAACCCACUGCCGAACAUACUGUCUCAAAACAACAUUUAUUUAUUAUUUGACUCAUGAAACUGCAAUUUGGGCAGGAUUUGGCAAAGUCUGACUCCACUGACAUCAGCUAGGCUGCUCCAAAAUUGGACAUGAAACAUUUAAAGGCUCCACUAAUCAAAUGACAGUGGUUGACGUUCAGUGAUAUCACAUUGGUAGUUUGCAAUUGGCCAUGGUGGGAGAAUGGAAAUCAGCAAAGCCUGCAAAUCAGGGUUAGCUAUUGAUUGCUUGAUGGGCUGACUGACUGAUUGGAGAGCGUAUUGUUAAACAUUUAAACACCCCCACUGAAUGACUGGAACCAACUAUUUAGAAAUUGCAACUAAAAAUUCUCAGAUGCAAAACUAUGAAUGGCAAAUGCACUAAUGAAUUUUUUAAAUGUUAUUUGGAAUUGAACAAAACAAGUUAUUCUGGCUUUCCAAAAAAAUGCUCUUUAAAAACCACCUCUUACUUGCAACUGUUAUUGUAUGUGUGUAUUUGUACAUUAUACAUGUAAAUAUGCACUUGAAAUACUUAGACAUGUUUAUACAAAGUACAUCUUAUCCUUUUUCCCCUUUUUCCUUGGUGUUCCAAGAAGUGAAAAUAAUAACUUUUGCUAAACUUAACUCAUCUACCUCAGGGUAUCUAGAAAUUGUUAUGUGGCUCUGGUUUUCAGCAGUAUUGUAAAUUUUCAUUUUUCAUUUCUGUCUUUAUAGGUUUUUAUUGAGCAGUGGGGGGAAGUUGCACUGGAAGCCUCUAGCCAGAUGCCAUUUCAAUUGUCACAUAACUAGCAAGCCCUUUUGCAUCUUUUAAAUCUAAGGAAAAUCUUUGAAUAAGGCAAGCAUAUUAAAUUUUAAUUUAGGUUCA